GGGGCUGACUGGAUUUGACAGCGGGUUGAAGCGGUAUGUAAGCAUGUGGAGCCAAGAUGGUAGGCUCCUUAAUCUCUGCUAUCAAAAAUUUAUCUGGCGAAACACGUUACGCUCUCGCUGCCUAAUCGAAGUACAGUAGAUUACUGGCCUAAUCUCGGCACCAGGUGCUGAGACGAGACAUCGCUCAGAAGCUCUUGUUCCGAAGCGUCUGGUUCAGCGGUGUAGGAAUUUCGGGAAUAGUCUUUUGGCGCUCCUCGAGCCUAGGAUGAAGUUUUAGAGGAUACGGUAUCAGUUGGUGGUCCAGGUCUUGCUGAUGCCCGACAAUGAAGUCUGGAAUAAACAUGUAGAAAGCCUAUUGGUUCCCUGUUUGGACGAGGGUUCGAACCCCUCCAGCUCCACUG
rnacentral:tmRNA from 1 species